AAAAAGGAAACCUGCUCCUAAUAAUGCCAGUCGACAACAACAGCUGGCUUCUUAAAGUCAUGUCCCAUUGAAAAUAGCAGAGUUCUCAAAUCUCAUCAAAUCUUUAAUCUUUUGCUACAAGUUUUCAAAGAGAACCGUUUCUUAUUCUUCAAUCUGAUGCUCUCAUCUUUUUCCUCUCCAUUGCUUUUCGAACAUAGCUUGGGGUGCCACCUUCAAGAGCCUCCGUCGUAAAUAGUGAAGCAACGUCUGAGUGGAGUACCGAUUUUGAUGCUAAGAUUUCCCCAUCCACCUCUCAGACUAUCAACCCCGAGGCGGAUCUGAAAUAUUGUCGGUCGAAAGUCGCAUCAAAUUAAAUGGCUGCAUACGUUCUUUGUUCAUCCUGCUUGAGAUCUCUGUUAGAAUCUAAGCCAAAUAAUCCAGAGCCCACAGCAGAAGAGUUGACACUGUUUGCUUGUCCCUCGGUUGAAAACCCAGGUGAGCCAUUCCCAUAUUCCUUGAUUGUUAUUAUUAAGCACCCAAGAAAACUGUAAAUUCCUCCAUACUUCCUCCAUUGUAGGACACUACCAAAAAAUGUGAUUGUUGUCCUUCUUAUUAAGAUGACACCUGGGGCAUCGAGUUUCAACAGCUACUCGUUUAAUCUUAAGAUUAGAAAAAGUAGGGAUAUAGUUCCAGGAGAUUUUCCAGACUAUAAUUUUGAGUUUUGAAGGAAUAUGUCGGUUCCACAGUUUCUUGUAGAAAGUUUUAUUUUUGGCCUGUAAAUUAUUAUUACUAGGAACCAGUGUAGUCUUUUGUAAUAGUUUGUAGGCGCUUCUAGCUGAGAAAUUUCCGGAUGGUUUCCCUCCCCAUACUUGGAAAUUGUCGUGCACUGACCUCGCCAAAGGGAUCUGCAUGAUUUUUUUUUUACAAUAUCUGCAUUAAAGAUGUCGAACCAAACAGAAAUGCGAUCCCCCUUUCCAAUCCUCUAGCAGAUUCCUUUCUCUAGAAGUCCUUUGGCUGACCAAACACUCUUCCAGGUGAGUGAAGUAAUAUCAUCCAACCGAGCUAGAGCUGAAUCUGAGGAAGCUGAGAGCAAUGCUUUAGCUUUAGUUCAAAGAGUUGAGUCUGCGUUUGGUAGUGAAAGGCACAUGUCUGAGGGCUGAAGUGAGGAGGUGAAACAGGCCUUCUUUCAAAUGAUCAAAUAAAUGGUUUACACAGUACUUGAGAACAAACCCUGCUGUACAACGACCUCCCCCACCUGCUCCCCAAUUGAUUCCUAGGGUACCACAGGGUGCUGAGCCUGUUAGAAUUGGUAAGCCUUCGAUAGAUAAAAUUCGUAAGCAUGGGGCAGAAGAAUUUAGAGUUACCACAGAUGAUGAUCCAGAAAGGGCUGAGCUUUGCCUAGAAAAUACUAUCCGGGUUUUUGACAAAUUAUCUUGUACACCUGCUGAAUGUCUGAAAUGUGCGGUAUCUCUACUGAAAGAUACCACUUAUCAUUGGUGGAAUACCAUAACUUCCGUAGUACCGAGAGAGAAUGUUACAUCGGAAUUCUUCCAGGCUAAAUUUAGGAAGAAAUAUGUUAAUCAGAGAUUUAUGGUCCAGAAAAAGAAAGAAUUUUUGGAACUCAAACAAGGAAACAUGACUGUAUCCGAAUAUGUACAAAAUUUUGUUCGAUUGAGCAAGUAUGCUAGGGAAUGGGUUCUAACUGAGGCUGAAAUAUGUAAACGUUUUGAAGAAAUUUUAAAUGAAGACAUCAAAUUGUUGAUUGGAAUUCUAGAGAUAAGGGAAUUUACAGUGUUAGU